AUACUUACCUGGCACAGAGGUUACCAUGAUCAUCAAGGUGGUUCCUCCAGGGUGAGACUCGACCAUUGCACUACGGUUGGGUUGACCUCUGCGAAUAUCCCUCAUGUGGAUCAUUCGUGUGUGCAAUUUUUGAUAGCUGGGAUGUGCGUGCGCGCAUGUCCCAU